AAUAAAGUGCCUGAUUAAAGGGCUAUUUUGAUAGAAUAGAUAAUGUAGGAAUUAUUCUACCUUUAUUA
rnacentral:tRNA from 1 species